rnacentral:lncRNA from 1 species
AUUACGCUACAUUUAAUUACCUUAAUAAUGGUAAUCAAAUUGAUUAUGGGCCUGGGUAUAUGCAUAUCUUGCCUAAAAUACACCGAUUAAAUGAAUCGGAAUAAGUAAAAAUCAAUAAAUAUGGGUUUAACAUUGAUAACAUAAUGCCACCAUGUCGGGCAAUCAUAUCUCAGAUUUGUACUGUCACAGAAUUUAUUGGAUGCGAUAUCGAUUAUGUUUUAGUACCUAUGGUACAAAAACAACAUACGUAUAUAAAGGAU